rnacentral:rRNA from 1 species
AUUGAACGCUGGCGGCAGGCCUAACACAUGCAAGUCGAGCGGAUGAAGGGAGCUUGCUCCUGGAUUCAGCGGCGGACGGGUGAGUAAUGCCUAGGAAUCUGCCUGGUAGUGGGGGAUAACGUCCGGAAACGGGCGCUAAUACCGCAUACGUCCUGAGGGAGAAAGUGGGGGAUCUUCGGACCUCACGCUAUCAGAUGAGCCUAGGUCGGAUUAGCUAGUUGGUGGGGUAAAGGCCUACCAAGGCGACGAUCCGUAACUGGUCUGAGAGGAUGAUCAGUCACACUGGAACUGAGACACGGUCCAGACUCCUACGGGAGGCAGCAGUGGGGAAUAUUGGACAAUGGGCGAAAGCCUGAUCCAGCCAUGCAGCGUGUGUGAAGAAGGUCUUCGGAUUGUAAAGCACUUUAAGUUGGGAGGAAGGGCAGUAAGUUAAUACCUUGCUGUUUUGACGUUACCAACAGAAUAAGCACCGGCUAACUUCGU